CAAACACACCCAACACAACACAGAUAGAGAGAGAGAGAGAGAGAGAGAGCGCCGUCUACAUUGCCAUCGUCGUCGUCGUCCAUGGCCUUUUCCCUUUCUCUCUCUUUUGAUUUAAGGUUUGGGGUUCACUCCUUUGUUGAUUUAACCACCUGUUGUUGCUGUUUCUCAAAAUCGACUUCUAUUUAAUUCAUCAGGCUCGCACAAACACUGCACUCACCUAGCCAGACCUUUCUGCUCUUUCUCCCCUAACAGUGCUCUAUUCUUCUUUUCCUCUUGGCUAUUAUUAUGGUUUGAGUUAUUUUUCUGUUUGUCGGUAUUUUUCUUAAGUUCGCGAUGCUAAGGUGGAUUUCAUAACUGAAAAGUGAUAAGAUAUCACCGCUUUCUUUAAGUCUGAAAAGGUCAGAUUUUUAACUUCUCCUUUGAUCUUUAUAGAGAGCACAUAAUAUUGGUUUGUGUUGUGGCGCGAUGCUUGAGUACUAUGUUUUAGGACUUAAUUACUGACUUAUUGAAUAUGGCAUGACAGAAAUAUAGAUUCUUCGGAGUUUAGAAUCUCUGUUAAAGGUAUUAAUAAAGGUAUGCAUUAUGCCUUAGAAUACAUGUCUAUAAUUUGAGGUAGGUAACUGUUGCACUUUUGAGGGUUAAAUAAGUUGCAUUCUUGAGACACCUUUGAGGCAAAUUAAUGGUUCAAGUGAGGCAAGCAUAUGGUAUUUUUUGAGUUGUUAUUUGAUGAACUGCUACAACAUUUGAAUGAGUUUUGUAUCUGCACUUUGAGAGUUGUUUACUGUGUUUGAAUGAUUGCAUUUACAACAAACAUAUGUGGUCUUUGAGAUAGAAACUCCUAUACUUGAUUGGUGCCUACUUUUGCCAAACAAGAAUUGAUGCUACAUUGCGAAAAUCCUGAAUAAAAAUUGUUGCACUUUUAGUCAUUUUGCUGUUGUAUGUUGGGGUAAAACUGUUGCUCUUAAUAUAUAGUUGUGCAUUUGAUAGAAGCUGUUACACUUGACAUGAUUUUUAUCUUUUAGAAGGCAAAGAAAUACAACACUUGAGGAUGAUUCUGAAUCAGGUUACUACUACCUUAAGCCCUGCUAUUUUGUUGCUAUGUUCUGAGCCAUCUUUGUGGCAUUUUGAGCCAAUUUGUGGCUUCAUGCUUGGCUGCACUAGGAGAAAAGGUGUUCUUUGCUAUACGUAACUGCUGAUGCUACUGCAUCUUGAGGCAUGACUGAUUCUGGCAUUUGUAACCCCAUCCCAAGGCUAUACAUAGAUGUUUGUGGUUGUUGUUUUCCUAGGAUAAUCUGGUUCAUUUUGAAUAUGUUGCUGAUCAUCAGUUUGUCGUGGCUUCUGUGUUUAAACAGAUACUACACUAGACAAGGUUGUUGUUUUGAUAGCUGCUGAGCCUUUCUGAUCGUUCUGCUGGUGUGUUAUGUUGGCUGAAACUUGAGUGGUGUGGAGUAUUAUUUGCUCCCUUGGAAUAUGGAAACUGAAGCUUCUUUUUGUAUUUGUAAUUUCUUAACGACUUUGCUGAUGUGGGAAAAGCAUAAAUUAGACUUCUCGCUGCAAGGGAAUAGCAUAUAUAUUAUUUUUUAUUAAGUGACAACAUACAUAUUAUCUUAUACCUUUGUUUUGUGUUCAGUUGUUUUAUUGUGCUUUUGUUCUCAUUAAUAUUUAAUUGGUAAUACUAUUAUAUCAAUAGUAUUUUAAUAUUAUAAGGUACUAAGAUUUAAGCCAGGUUGGGAUAAGGCGAGAGGGUAAUGAUGGUAUUUGGGAACAACUGUAGGAUUUGAGGACUGGUGCUUCAUAAAGAAAUAGGAUUAUUGGAUUAUAAGCCAUGGGAUGAACCUACCCAAGUGAGAAACAUGAUCUUUUAAUUACCAGGUCUUUUAGAAUUCCUCAACUGGAUCAUCAUUGCAGUUCCACUCAUCAUAUUGGAGUUAAUUAUGCUUUUCCCACUUGCAGAGAGAAGUCUAAUUUAUGCUUUUCCCACAUCAGUCAUCCGCAUAAAUGGUAUCCACAAAUUGCAGUCAUAUUUAUGCAUUGGAGGUGAUUUUCUUUAGCAUCACUGUGGUUAGUCUUUGUAUAUCUUUUAUUAUAUGGAUACUUCCAUAUUAAUGGACUAAUUUUUUCGUCCUGUUUCUAAUGUCCGUAAGAAGAUUUUGACCUGAUGAAUGUUGAAGGAGUUACAAGAGGGAAUGUGGCAAGCCAUCUCCAGGUAUCUUUAUAUAUAUUUUCAUAUGUUUCCUUUAAUCUGCUUUAUAUUUUUACAAAUGGGAUAUAUGUAUGCUUUUGUUACUGCUCAGAUAUAUGUAUGCUUUUGUUACAAAUGGGAUAUAAACCUGCAUUGCUAUUGAUGUUCUAU